rnacentral:rRNA from 1 species
GAUGAACGCUGGCGGCGUGCCUAAUACAUGCAAGUCGAGCGAACGUUCGAUAAGCUUGCUUCUCUGAUGUUAGCGGCGGACGGUUGAGUAACACGUGGAUAACCUGCCUAUAAGACUGGGAUAACUUCGGGAAACCGGACCUAAUACCGGAUAAUAUUUUGAACCGCAUGGUUCAAAAGUGAAAGACGGUCUUGCUGUCACUUAUAGUUCUAUCCGCGCUGCAUUAGCUAGUUGGUAAGGUAAAGGCUUACCAAGGCAACGAUGCAUAGCCGACCUGAGAGGGUGAUCGGCCACACUGGAACUGAGACACGGUCCAGACUCCUACGGGAGGCAGCAGUAGGGAAUCUUCCGCAAUGGGCGAAAGCCUGACGGAGCAACGCCGCGUGAGUGAUGAAGGUCUUCGGAUCGUAAAACUCUGUUAUUAGGGAAGAAAAUAUGUGUAAGUAACUGUGCACAUCUUGACGGUACCUAAUCAGAAAGCCACGGCUAACUACGUG